rfam:Zea mays cultivar B73 chromosome 5, whole genome shotgun sequence.
CCUCUCCGUUAUGACAAUGUGGUCACCUACCUCUUCACCAGUCUUGGAUCAGAAUAUGAUCCUUUUGUCUAUUCAAUGAUGACCAAGAGCGAUCAUCUCUCGCUUUAUGAUGUGUACACGCACUUUAUGACAUUUGAAGC